GACGAACCGUGCGAACGUUGUUCGGAUUCACUGGGCUUAAAGGGCGCGUAGGCGGUCGACCAAGUCUGGGGUGAAAUCUUUCGGCUCAACCGGAAAAGUGGCUUCGAUACUGGCAGGCUGGAGGGAGGUAGGGGCGGAUGGAACUUCCGGUGGAGCGGUGAAAUGUGUUGAUAUCGGAAGGAACGCCGGUGGCGAAAGCGAUCCGCUGGACCUCUUCUGACGCUGAGGCGCGAAAGCCAGGGGAGCAAACGGG
rnacentral:rRNA from 1 species